rnacentral:rRNA from 1 species
UUAUUGGGUCUAAAACAUCCGCAGCUUGCUUGGUAAGUUUCUUGUGAAAUCUUAUGUCUUAAGCAUAGGGCGCGCAAGAAGUACUGCCAGGCUAGAGACCGGGAGAAGUAAGGAGUAUGUUCAGAGUAGCGGUAAAAUGUGUUAAUCCUGAACAGACUAACAAUAGCGAAGGCACCUUACUAGAACGGUUCUGACAGUCAGGGAUGAAGGCUAGGGGCGCAAAACGGAUUAGAUACCCGUGUAGUCCUAGCAGUGAACACUGCACACUAAACCUUGUGAUCUCCUCGAGAGAUUGCAGGGCUGCAGGGAAGCCGAAGAGUGUGCUACCUGGGAAGUAUAGUCGCAAGGCCGAAACUUAAAGGAAUUGGCGGGGAGACACUACAACGGGUGACGCGUGCGGUUCAAUUAGAUUCCACACCGUGAACCUUACCAGGAGCGACAGCAGGAUGAAGGUCAGUCUGAAGGGCUUACCUGACACGCUGAGAGGGGAUGCAUGGCCGACGUCAGCCUGUGCCGUGAGGUGACCUGUUAAAUCAGGUAACAGGCAAGACCCUCAUCUCUAUUUACUAUGUGUACUAUAGAGAGAUUGCCAUUGUAAAAUGGAUGAAAGCGGGGGCUACGUUAGGUGAGUACAUCCCGAAUCCCCUGGGCAACACGCGCGCGUCAAUGGCAGAUACAAUGGGAUGCGACUCUGAAAAGAGAAGCCAAUCUCUUAAAGUCUGUCUCAGUCCAGAUUGAGGUUUGUAACUCAGCCUCAUGACGCUGGAAUCCGUAGUAAUCG